rnacentral:sRNA from 1 species
AGCAGGGGGCACAGGAGCCGGAGGGCCGCGGGCCGGAGGACGUCGGGGAUUCGGUGUCCCCGGGUGCCUAGGACUCCGACUUUCUCUGGGAGGAAAACAAGGUGGACGCUGCACCUGCGUCACUGCCCUGCAUCACCGUUUGGUUUGGUUGGGAUGUUCCAGUAAUUCUGAGAAAUUCAGAAGAGACCCAGUUCAGCACAAGAGUUUUCAAAAAGCAAAUGAGACAAGUCAAGAAUCCUUUUGGCUUAGAGAUCACUAAUCCAUCUUCAGCUUCAAUUACAACUGGCAUAACCUUGACAACAGAUUGCCUUGAAGAUAGCCUCCUUACAUGCUACUGGGGGUGCAGUGUUCAAAAAUUAUAUGAAGCUCUGCAUAUUAAAAAGGAUAGCAAAGAAGAAAUAUAUUGCCAGUUACCAAGAGAUACUAAAAUUGAAGACUUUGGUACAGUACCCAGAUCUCGCUAUCCAUUGGUAGCGCUAUUGACCUUAGCUGAUGAGGAUGACCGGGAAAUUUAUGAUAUUAUUUCCAUGGUGUCAGUGAUUCAUAUUCCUGAUAGGACUUAUAAACUAUCCUGCAGAAUAUUGUAUCAAUAUUUACUCUUGGCUCAAGGUCAAUUUCAUGAUCUUAAGCAACUUUUCAUGUCUGCAAAUAAUAAUUUCACUCCCUCCAACAAUUCCUCUUCAGAAGAAAAAAACACAGACAGAAGUUUGUUGGAAAAGGUGGGACUCUCUGAAAGUGAAGUUGAGCCAUCGGAAGAGAACAGCAAGGACUGUGUUGUUUGCCAGAAUGGGACUGUGAACUGGGUACUCUUACC